UACGAAGGGGGCUAGCGUUGUUCGGAAUCACUGGGCGUAAAGCGCACGUAGGCGGAUCGUUAAGUCGGGGGUGAAAUCCCGAGGCUCAACCUCGGAACUGCCUUCGAUACUGGCGAUCUUUGAGUCCGGGAGAGGUGAGUGGAACUCCGAGUGUAGAGGUGAAAUUCGUAGAUAUUCGGAAGAACACCGGUGGCGAAGGCGGCAUCCUGGACCAACACUGACGCUGAGUGAGCGAAAGCCAGGGGAGCAAACGGG
rnacentral:rRNA from 1 species